rnacentral:lncRNA from 1 species
GUAAGGAGACAGUAAGGGGGUGGGAGGGGAGUGGAGUGAGAGGGGAUGGUUUAUUUUUAAAGAUAUUUUUCAUUUUAAUUAUAAAUGUUCUGGGAAGUCAUAUACAAUUUGAGAAAUACACUAGACCUAAAUGCAUCUCAGCUGAAGUUUCAUGUUUGCUUGUUUGUUUGUUUUUUGAGACAGGGUCUUGCUGUGUAGUUCAGGCUGGCCUUGAAUUCACUGUGUAGCCCAGGCUGGCCUUGAACUCGCGGUGAUCCUCCUGCCUCAGGCUCCCAAGUGCUGGGAUCACAGGCAUGCUCCACCACACCUGGCUCAGCUACAGUUUUAAUUAAUGCACUUCUGGAGUCCCUGUGGGUUAUUGGGAAUCCCUGCAGGUCUCCUUUCUACUCUCAUUGCUGCUGAUUUCACCAUCACCAACACCAAGUCUCCCUACCCAAGGUUUCUCAGCUGAAGAUGUGUUUUCCUCUGCUAAAGCAGGCUCAUGGAGAUAAGUGCGCCCACCAGGGCAGAAGAGGGUGGAGCUAGCCUACUUCCUUGUACAGCCCACAGAAGCCCACCGGAGCUCCAGCUGUCCCCGGGCUGGGUGAGGCCGCUCUUCAUGUCACACCCCACCGAGUCUGUCUCCUUUGCUGCUGGGCCUGGCACAGAGCUGUGCCCCACGAACGCUGUGCACCCCUCUGGCUGGAAAUGCGGGGUCGGUGAUGGCUGGCAAAGGCAUAAGGCCAGGAGCGCACGUCGCAGGUGGCAGAGUUAGAGGGGCCGGGUUCCCUCUUCCCUGGG